GAUAAACGCUGGCGGCGUGCCUAAUGCAUGCAAGUCGCACGGAGGUGCUUUCGGGCACUUGAGUGGCGAACGGGUGAGGAACACGUGGCCGACCUACCCUGGUGUGGGGAAUACCCUGUGGAAACACAGGCUAAUACCGCGUACGGUCCUUUCGUGGUAGAUGAAAGGAAGAAAGCAGUGAUGCGCACUAGGAGGGGGCUGCGGCCGAUUAGCUAGUUGGUGGGGUAAUAGCUCACCAAGGCGAUGAUCGGUAGCGGGUCUGAGAGGAUGAUCCGCC
rnacentral:rRNA from 1 species